AGUCCUGUGGUGAAAUUUCAUGUUGAAUAGAGAAGCAGCUUCAAUUCUGCCGGGGCUU
rnacentral:tRNA from 1 species